rnacentral:rRNA from 1 species
GACGAACGCUGGCGGCGUGCUUAACACAUGCAAGUCGAACGAUGAAGCUAGAGCUUGCUCUGGUGAAUUAGUGGCGAACGGGUGAGUAACACGUGAGUAACCUGCCCCGAACUCUGGGAUAACUGCUGGAAACGGUAGCUAAUACUGGAUACGACCUACGAAGGCAUCUGCUGUAGGUGGAAAGAAUUUCGGUUCGGGAUGGACUCUCGGCCUAUCAGCUUGUUGGUGAGGUAAUGGCUCACCAAGGCGACGACGGGUAGCCGGCCUGAGAGGGUGACCGGCCACACUGGGACUGAGACACGGCCCAGACUCCUACGGGAGGCAGCAGUGGGGAAUAUUGCACAAUGGGCGCAAGCCUGAUGCAGCAACGCCGCGUGAGGGAUGACGGCCUUCGGGUUGUAAACCUCUUUUAGUAGGGAAGAAGCGAAAGUGACGGUACCUGCAGAAAAAGCACCGGCUAACUACGUGCCAGCCGCCGCGGUAA